rnacentral:lncRNA from 1 species
AUGCGGGUGGUGGGGGCUGGGUGCGCUGGACACUCCCUGGGCCCCCACUUCCCGGCCCCCUCCCCGUGCCCCAAGCCUGGGCACCCCGGCCCCCACUCCCCACCCCCCCUCCCUGCCCCACCGCCCCCAGCCCGGACACCCUGGGCGGCCCCUACUCCCUGGCCCCCCGCUCCUCGCGCCCCAGCCUGGCCGCCACGGUCCCCACUUCCCACCCCUGGUCCCCGUGCCCCAAGCCCGGCCACCCCGGCCCCCCUCUCCGCCCUGCCACCCACCCGCUGGAACCCAGCCCGCGGGGCCCGCAAAGUCUGCGCGCAAACUUCCCGCCGCAACCGCGCCCAGUGCCAGCUGCCAUCCGGGCCCCGCAGGAUAGCGACAUGGAGCCCCGCAGGGGAAACUGAGGCCCAGCGCCGGCGCGCCCCGCUCCCGCGCCCCACAGUCACUCACUUGGCUGGAGUCUCCCGAAGCCGCCGCCGCCUCGCGGCCCCCGACGCCGACUCGCACCCACCGAAGUUGGCGGCCCGACUGCCGCGCGUGCGCCGGGUGGGGGCUGGGGGUGCGGCGACCUCCAACCCGGUCCGGGGGAGGGGCGGGCAGCGGGUGGCGGUGUCCUGGUCCCCCGGUCUCCCGAUCCCCACUCUCCCAUCCCCCGUCCCCCGGCUCCCCGCGCCCCCGUCCGCCGCCCCCCUCCCCGCGCACUCACCUGCGCGCCCGCACCGCUCACUCAGCCCUGUCGGCAGCGACGGCCGCUCGGGACACGGUGGCCGGGGACACGAUGGCAGCGCUGAGCCGGCAGGGAGGCCGCCGAGUGCGGGCGCAGGUGUGCGGCCGGAGUGGGGCGCCGGCACCGUCCCCGCCCCCGUUGCCUGCAGGCGGCCGCGGGGGUGCGCGCGGCGGCCAGGUCUCCCGGGGUCCCCGCAGCGGUGUGAUGGGCGUCAGCGGCCGGGGGCGCGGGGACAGGCGCCGUCAGCACUCAUCCGUCAGGGCAGGGCUCUGGCCCCUGACAGCCGCGCUCCCACGAGCCGAGGCCUGGGGCUGCGCCCUGGGACCGGGAGCUGCGGGCGCCCCGCCAGAUCGGCGGGGGUGCAGCGGGACCACCCCCCAUGGCGCCCGGCCUGGGAGGAGGGCCGCAGCCCCGGGCGUGGGCGGGGGAGCAAGUCUCCUGGCCGCGCCCACCCUCCCGCCUGA